rnacentral:rRNA from 1 species
GACGAACGCUGGCGGCGUGCUUGACACAUGCAAGUCGAACGGAAAGGCCCUGCUUUUGUGGGGUGCUCGAGUGGCGAACGGGUGAUUAACACGUGAGUAACCUGCCCUUGACUUUGGGAUAACUUCAGGAAACUGGGGCUAAUACCGGAUAGGAGCUCCUGCUGCAUGGUGGGGGUUGGAAAGUUUCGGCGGUUGGGGAUGGACUCGCGGCUUAUCAGCUUGUUGGUGGGGUAGUGGCUUACCAAGGCUUUGACGGGUAGCCGGCCUGAGAGGGUGACCGGCCACAUUGGGACUGAGAUACGGCCCAGACUCCUACGGGAGGCAGCAGUGGGGAAUAUUGCACAAUGGGCGGAAGCCUGAUGCAGCAACGCCGCGUGCGGGAUGACGGCCUUCGGGUUGUAAACCGCUUUCGCCUGUGACGAAGCGUGAGUGACGGUAAUGGGUAAAGAAGCACCGGCUAACUACGUG